CAGGACUUGACGGCUGCAACU
rnacentral:miRNA from 1 species